UCAAAAGGAACCAGGUAAAUGUAUAA
rnacentral:misc_RNA from 1 species